UAUACCACCAGCAAUGAUUAUCUCCCUUAUGUAAACGUUUCCAUGGACAUCUAAUAAUUUCUUUUUCGUAAUUUCAUGUUUUUAUGUUUAAAAAUAAUUUAUAAAUAUUAUGUUAUGAAUAUCAAGUAAAUUUGACCUUUAAUUUCUACGCCAGUAUUAGUAAAACGUUUAUUAAAGCUGUCAAUUAAUCGAAAAUUAUGACCAGCGUUGCUACUCCAGACUACGAACAGCCUCUUAUACCAGCCUCUGGUCGCUUUAUAUGGAAAGAGGAUGCAACAGGGAAGGGUGUCCUAGAAUGGAGCUCAAACAAUCCAAAUGCUGAUAGAGACAGAAGGCGAAGGAAGGGAAAUGAUGGAAAUAAAAGAAAUGAUAGGUAA
rnacentral:lncRNA from 1 species